rnacentral:lncRNA from 1 species
GAGGGAAAGCGGUCUACUCACAGCGCCUCCUCUUUCUGCGCACACGGUAGGGCCCGCUCCGCAGUCUGCACCCGACCCAGUCAGCAUCAUCUCUGUUGCAGGUUAGGUUGUUCAGGAGCAGACUUUGAGACAAAAUUUAGUGUGCAAUAUAUUUAUUAGACAGUGCCCUGAGAUUAACACCCAUGGCAGGGAGAGGGGAGAAACAGUUAAUUUAUUUCUAACUCUCUUCUGCUAAUCUUCCUUUCUCUCUGGCUAGGUGGCUCCCUUACCCACAUCUUAACCUGAUUCCAAGCUCAUCAGUGAAUUCUCAUUACUAAUAUCUCACUUCUGUUAGAAACACUUAGAUAUUUUCUUCCUAUCACCACAAUUCAAACUACAGACUCCAGUAGUUUUGGGGAGAAGUUGAGGUCUUUAAUAACCCCCCAACUCCCUGUGUAUGUUCAUUUGAGAGGGAGAGUAGGGGAAAUAGGAGAAUAAUUCUCCUGGAACAUUGAAACAUUUAUUUUCCUUUUAUAUUCGACAUAGCCAUCCACGUCCUCUUUCAGUUUUACUCCAAAAGGGCCAGUUCUAAGAUGCCUCUUUCUCUUCUGCUUGAUGGUAAGUUCCACCCAGAUUUUUUAGUGUUUACUCCUGGCCUGGGACUACUUCCUUCCACUUAGGGACUAAGAGCUGAAUACACUUUUAGCUGAUUGGUCUUCUAUAUUAGAUAGCUCUUUCAGUAGACAGCCUGAGUCAUUGCAUAUGAAGCU